CACGCCGUAAACGAUGAGUGCUAAGUGUUAGAGGGUUUCCGCCCUUUAGUGCUGCAGCUAACGCAUUAAGCACUCCGCCUGGGGAGUACGGUCGCAAGACUGAAACUCAAAGGAAUUGACGGGGGCCCGCACAAGCGGUGGAGCAUGUGGUUUAAUUCGAAGCAACGCGAAGAACCUUACCAGGUCUUGACAUCCUCUGACAACCCUAGAGAUAGGGCUUUCCCCUUCGGGGGACAGAGUGACAGGUGG
rnacentral:rRNA from 1 species